UGGGGAAUUUUGGACAAUGGGCGAAAGCCUGAUCCAGCAAUGCCGCGUGUGUGAAGAAGGCCUUCGGGUUGUAAAGCACUUUUGUCCGGAAAGAAAUCCUUGGCUCUAAUACAGUCGGGGGAUGACGGUACCGGAAGAAUAAGCACCGGCUAACUACGUGCCAGCAGCCGCGGUAAUACGUAGGGUGCAAGCGUUAAUCGGAAUUACUGGGCGUAAAGCGUGCGCAGGCGGUUUGCUAAGACCGAUGUGAAAUCCCCGGGCUCAACCUGGGAACUGCAUUGGUGACUGGCAGGCUAGAGUAUGGCAGAGGGGGGUAGAAUUCCACGUGUAGCAGUGAAAUGCGUAGAGAUGUGGAGGAAUACCGAUGGCGAAGGCAGCCCCCUGGGCCAAAUACUGACGCUCAUGCACGAAAGCGUGGGGAGCAAACAGGAUUAGAUACCCUGGUAGUCCACGCCCUAAAACGAUGUCAACUAGUUGUUGGGGAUUCAUUUCCUUAGUAACGUAGCUAACGCGUGAAGUUGACCGCCUGGGGAGUACGGUCGCAAGAUUAAAACUCAAAGGAAUUGACGGGGUCAUA
rnacentral:rRNA from 1 species